rnacentral:rRNA from 1 species
AAUCUUGCGCAAUGGCCGAAAGGCUGACGCAGCGACGCCGCGUGCGGGAGGAAGCCCCUCGGGGUGUAAACCGCUGUCAGGGGGGACGAACCCCCAGCAUGGGAAUACUGUGCUGGUCUGGCGGUACCCCCAGAGGAAGCGCCGGCUAACUCCGUGCCAGCAGCCGCGGUAAGACGGAGGGCGCGAGCGUUGUUCGGAAUUACUGGGCGUAAAGCGCGCGCAGGCGGAUGGGCAAGUCGGGAGUGAAAUCCUGGGGCUCAACCCUGGGACUGCUAUCGAUACUGCUCGUCUAGGGACCGGUAGAGGCCGGUGGAAUUCCCGGUGUAGCGGUGGAAUGCGUAGAUAUCGGGAAGAACACCUGUGGCGAAGGCGGCCGGCUGGGCCGGAUCCGACGCUGAGGCGCGAAAGCGUGGGGAGCAAACAG